rnacentral:rRNA from 1 species
AGUGAACGCUGGCGGUAGGCCUAACACAUGCAAGUCGAACGGCAGCACAGUAAGAGCUUGCUCUUACGGGUGGCGAGUGGCGGACGGGUGAGGAAUACAUCGGAAUCUACUUUUUCGUGGGGGAUAACGUAGGGAAACUUACGCUAAUACCGCAUACGACCUACGGGUGAAAGCAGGGGAUCUUCGGACCUUGCGCGAUUGAAUGAGCCGAUGUCGGAUUAGCUAGUUGGCGGGGUAAAGGCCCACCAAGGCGACGAUCCGUAGCUGGUCUGAGAGGAUGAUCAGCAACACGGGAGUUAAGACAAGACCCAGGUCCCAACGUGAGCCACAAAGGGGUAAUAUGGGAAAAAGGGCGAAAGCUUGUACCACCCUGUCGGCGGAGAUGAAGAAGUCCUGCGCCUUGUAAAGCCCUUUUGUUGGUAAAGAAAAGAAGCAGAUUAACACCCCGCUGUUCGGCCGUAACCAAAAGAAGAAGCACCGGCCAACUCCUG